rnacentral:rRNA from 1 species
UACGGGGGGGGUAAGCGUUGUUCGGAAUUACUGGGCGUAAAGGGCUCGUAGGCGGCCAACUAAGUCAUACGUGAAAUCCCCAGGCUUAACCUGGGAACUGCAUCCGAUACUGGAUGGCUUGAAUCCGGGGAGAGGGAUGCGGAAUUCCAGGUGUAGCGGUGAAAUGCGUAGAUAUCUGGAGGAACACCGGUGGCGAAGGCGGCAUCCUGGACCGGCAUUGACGCUGAUGAGCGAAAGCCAGGGGAGCAAACGGG